CGGAGCAGGGGUGGAAAGACUGUGGGCAUGAGAUGACCUGUUCCAACACAAGUUUUCCAACAGGAGGUCAAGAUUCCUAUGAACUAAAUUAUAACAUAGGGCUGCAGAGCUGAUGCAUGCCUAAGUAAUGGAACCACAUCUGGCAAAGUGGUUGCAGUUGGAGUUACCUCCUGGUUAAGCUGAAAAUAAUCCAUUGUCAUUCUCCAAGAUCCAUCUCCCUUCAGCACAGGCCAAACAGAUGGGAAGUGAUGCCUAUAGGAGGUGGAUGCAUCCAAUCAAGAACCAGUGUUUAUAAAGUGCCUACACAUUUCUUAAUGGUUCUUGACCAUCAUGGUCUUUUCUUGGGAGAAGGGAUGUUACACAUCCUAUGGGAUUCUGAUAAAAAAU